AUUGCCGGGUAGCUAAAUGCGGAAGAGAUAAGUGCUGAAAGCAUCUAAGCACGAAACUUGCCAAGAGAUGAGUCAUCCCUGACUUUAAGUCAGUAAGGGUUGUUGUAGACUACGACGUAGAUAGGUCUGGUGUGUAAGUGUAGUGAUACAUUGAGCUAACAGAUACUAAUUGCCCGAGAGGCUUAACUAUACAACGCUCAAG
rnacentral:rRNA from 1 species